UUGCCACAUAUACACGAAACGUCUUCAAAGUUUAUAUUUAGACCGUGGCAGGUUAGGACCUGCUGUGGGUUCCCAUGGAAUCCCAUAAUCUCCCAAUUAUAACAUUCAUUAUGUAUUAGUUACAAAUAACCAGUAAAUGAUUUGAUACUACAACAUGGAAUUUGGGUUUAGAACAGCUUGAAGUGGGUCAGGAUUUAACUGGGGACUCAGUCAUGACUGGCACUAUUAAGAUUCAAGAAGCUCUUGUUAGGAGGUUGGGCACCUGGUAGAGCUGAGCUCUGGAUUAUCUGUAGAACACAUUGGAGAAACGACCAGGGUGGUUCUUCGAUGGAGUAUAGUGUAUCCAGUGAUGAAGGCCCGUUACUUGCAAUCCUGUGUGCACCAGCUGCGUGUGGCUCUUUAUACCUUUGGUUCUGUGACUGCCUACGUACCGCUGAUGGCCUGGUUGACUUGCUCCGCUUCUGGGGACGUCAUGUGGAUGAGCUUGGAAAUGUUGUUUUGGCAGAAUGUGACUCAAGUGCUUUGUGAAAGGUCAAGGUGGGGACCAGUUAGUGGUGUCUGAGAGGCAUCAUGGUGUUCCAGAAAGAGACGUGAAUGAAGAGGCUGAAGACCUGGGUCCAAGUCUGGGCUCUGCAGCUGAAAACCCAGGUAAGCUUGUUCUUGCCUUCCCACGUUUGCUCGUUAAUAUAGCUCUGCGCUCCUUUGCCAGUGGACUAAGGCAAUGUGAGGUAGGGAGGAAAAGUAUGGCUUCGUCACACUGCAAGAAGAAUGUCCGUUUUUUUCUUUUCCUUUUUUUUUUUUUUGCAGUCCGUCAGGGAAGGUAGAGUAAGGCACAGUAUGUGUGUUCAGUGAGACCUCGCUGAGAAGGUUGCAUUCAGAUGUACGAAAGGAGAAUGGAGGAGCCAUAUCUUUACACCCGCAAAGGACUCUGUUGCAGGAAGCAUGGGGCUCAACUCCAAGGUGAUGGUCACCAAGAAGCUCUGCCUCAGACAAAGGGACAUUCCUCUCCUCUGGGCUCCCCUGGUACCUUCUGCUCGGAACCGACAGAGAACUGCCCAUCUCCCCUGUGCUGUAGGCCCCAGGGGCUGCUGUAGGGUCUGACACAUCUGUUUAGCUCCAACACAGGGUCUCAGUGGCCUGAAUCUGUUUCGAAAGACAUGUUCUAAGUUCAUGUAGCAAAGUUCCACGCGCCUUGCAUUUCGUAUGCAUCCUGAUUUGAUGGUGCUGCUGUGCACCUUUUUAGGAGCCAAGCGAAGUGAGGAGCACUCGUGUGUCCGAUCAAACGGAGUGUGUCAGCGUGAUACUCAUUUCAGAUGAGCUUCAGAAAAGAUGUGACAUGACUUCUUAAAGGGACAUACGUGCUGCCUAAGUAGCCCUUCUCCAGCUGCUUCCUGGUGGAAGCCCAAAUGCAAAGCCUCUUCAGGGCGCUGGUUUGUGCAACCACGGGGCUCAGCGUUUCCUCUAAAGCCACACUUCUCUCCCUGCAGAGGCCGGUUGGAAUUUC
rnacentral:lncRNA from 1 species